rnacentral:lncRNA from 1 species
AACAUAAUGAACCUUUGAAAUAGGGCCAUUCCUAAACCCUCAGCGUUUGGUUCGGGAACAAGGGGGGGAAUAAGCCCUUGUUCCCCCCUUUGUUCCCAAAACGGUAUGUUUGGUUUCCGAGAACAGUAGUUCCAGGAUUUCUGGAACAAGCUGGUAUAAGGCUGGAAUUGCUGUUCCACCCGUUUCCUGGAACUAGCUUGUUCCUUGAUGAGAACAAGGUUAAUUAAAAUCUAAAUUUAAUUUUAAUGGCAGUAAAUUAUUAAUUAAUCUAAUUAAUAUAUUUAAAUCAUUAUUUAUUACUUUAAUAAUUAAAUAAAUAAUUAUUUAUUUAUUUAUAAUUAAUUAUUAAUAAUUAGAUAAUAAUUAUUAUUAAUUUAUUAUUAUUUAUAAUUAAUUGUUAAUAAUUAGAAAAUUAUUAUUAUUAAUUUAUUAUUUAUAAUAUAUUAUUAAUAAUUAAUAAUAUUUAUUAUUAUUUAUUAAUAAUUAUUAUUCUUAAUGAUAAUCAAUAUUAUUAUUA